UCUAUUUGUUGUAUUUGUCAUGAAGCGGUGGGGUGAGGGGUGGUGAGGCAGACGCUUUAGACCCAGGUAGGAGGAAUAGUUGAAUUUAAUAAAGAAAAACACAGUCCAGCAACGGGCAGCACGGCCGAGCAGAAGCCAGGGCUCGACGCCGGUAGCAACCAUUAACACGCCUGGACACGAAUGACAGCACGCACGUUAGACAACUGCAAGACAAGGACCCGACGAGGAACAAGGAACACAGGUGGAGUUAAAUACACAGCGGGUAAUCA